GCAAAAAUGCUCCGACGUUUUCGGAGACAUCCAUUUUUUUCAUGCUUUGUGGCAGCUUUUGAACAUCUGUGGCAUCUAUUAAUGUCAAAUCUAGCCUUUAUUUAACAACAUAAGCAAACUCUAUGUUAGAAUGAUUGCACAGCCAUUAAGGAUCAAACCAGUUUCUGAAAAAUGUUCUGCUUUUUCUCCCUCUGCUUGCUUCUUACUGUCUUUGAGGCUCAGGACCAGCACUCCUGCUGUUGGACAGAAAGACAUCAACUCAGUGACUUGAGAUAUGACUGCACGAUGCUGUUGCUGGUGACUCCAGUUAAUCCUACAAGACAUGAUGUGACAACAGGAGAGAUGAGUCCUCCGUCACAGAUGGUGUGAUCAGUGAAGAUGGUCGCCUUCAGGUUCAAGCUCAUAGCAUCUCCAACCCACAUCCACUGCCACUGUACUUAA